GACGAACGCUGGCGGCGUGCCUAAUACAUGCAAGUCGAGCGAACAGAUGAGGAGCUUGCUCCUCUCACGUUAGCGGCGGACGGGUGAGUAACACGUGGAUAACCCACCUAUAAUACUGGGAUAACUUCGGGAAGCCGGAUCUAAUACCGGAUAAUCUACUGAACCGUAUGGUUCAAUAGUGAAAGACGGUUUUGCUGUCACUUAUCGAUGGAUCUGCGCCGUAUUAGCUAGUUGGUAAGGUAACGGCUUACCAAGGCAACGAUGCGUAGCCGACCUGAGAGGGUGGUAGGCCACACGGGAACUGAGACGCGGUCCAGACUCCUGCGGGAGGCAGCAGUAGGGAAUCUGCCGCAAUGGGCGAAAGCCUGACGGAGCAACGCCGCGUGAGUGAUGAAGGUCUUCGGAUCGUAAAGCUCUGUUAUUAGGGAAGAACAAAUGUGUAAGUAACUAUGCACGUCUUGACGGUACCUAGUCAGAAAGCCACGGCUAACUACGUG
rnacentral:rRNA from 1 species